rnacentral:rRNA from 1 species
CUGGCGGCGUGCCUAACACAUGCAAGUCGAGCGAGGAGAUUCCUUCGGGAUGAUCCUAGCGGCGGACGGGUGAGUAACACGUGGGCAACCUGCCUCAUAGAGAGGAAUAGCCUUCCGAAAGGGAGAUUAAUACCUCAUAACAUUGCAGUUUCGCAUGGAACAGCAAUUAAAGGAGUAAUCCGCUAUGAGAUGGGCCCGCGGCGCAUUAGCUAGUUGGUGAGGUAACGGCUCACCAAGGCGACGAUGCGUAGCCGACCUGAGAGGGUGAUCGGCCACAUUGGGACUGAGACACGGCCCAGACUCCUACGGGAGGCAGCAGUGGGGAAUAUUGCACAAUGGGGGAAACCCUGAUGCAAGCAACGCCGCGUGAGUGAUGACGGCCUUCGGGUUGUAAAGCUCUGUCUUCAGGGACGAUAAUGACGGUACCUGAGGAGGAAGCCACGGCUAACUACGUGCCAGCCGCUGC